GUGGAUGCCUUGGCAAUGAUAGGCGACGAAAGACGUGAUAGCCUGCGAUAAGCUUCGGGGAGCUGGCAAAUUAGCUUUGAUCCGGAGAUUUCCGAAUGGGGAAACCCACCUGCAAAGGUAUCGCAUGAUGAAUACAUAGUCAUGCGAGGCGAACCGGGUGAACUGAAACAUCUCAGUAGCUCGAGGAAAAGACAUCAACCGAGAUUCCGAAAGUAGUGGCGAGCGAAAUCGGAAAAGCCUGCAAGUGAUAUCAGGACUCUUAGCAAGACAGCAUGGAAAGGCUGGCCAUAGUGGGUGAUAGCCCCGUAUGCAAAAAGAGACCUGUGGUACUAAGCUUGCGAAAAGUAGGGCGGGACACGAGAAAUCCUGUCUGAAUAUGGGGGGACCAUCCUCCAAGGCUAAAUACUCGUAAUCGACCGAUAGUGAACCAGUACCGUGAGGGAAAGGCGAAAAGAACCCCGGGAGGGGAGUGAAAUAGAUCCUGA
rnacentral:rRNA from 1 species